CUAACACAUGCAAGUCGAGCGGAUGACGGGAGCUUGCUCCUUGAUUCAGCGGCGGACGGGUGAGUAAUGCCUAGGAAUCUGCCUGGUAGUGGGGGACAACGUUUCGAAAGGAACGCUAAUACCGCAUACGUCCUACGGGAGAAAGUGGGGGAUCUUCGGACCUCACGCUAUCAGAUGAGCCUAGGUCGGAUUAGCUAGUUGGUGAGGUAAUGGCUCACCAAGGCGACGAUCCGUAACUGGUCUGAGAGGAUGAUCAGUCACACUGGAACUGAGACACGGUCCAGACUCCUACGGGAGGCAGCAGUGGGGAAUAUUGGACAAUGGGCGAAAGCCUGAUCCAGCCAUGCCGCGUGUGUGAAGAAGGUCUUCGGAUUGUAAAGCACUUUA
rnacentral:rRNA from 1 species